rnacentral:rRNA from 1 species
AUGCACGCUGGCGGCGUGCCUAAUACCUGCCAGUCGAGCGAACAGACGAGGAGCUUGCUCCUCUGACGUUAGCGGCGGACGGGUGAGUAACACGUGGAUAACCUACCUAUAAGACUGGGAUAACUUCGGGAGACCGGAGCUAAUACCGGAUAAUAUAUUGAACCGCAUGGUUCAAUAGUGAAAGACGGUUUUGCUGUCACUUAUAGAUGGAUCCGCGCCGCAUUAGCUAGUUGGUAAGGUAACGGCUUACCAAGGCAACGAUGCGUAGCCGACCUGAGAGGGUGAUCGGCCACACUGGAACUGAGACACGGUCCAGACUCCUACGGGAGGCAGCAGUAGGGAAUCUUCCGCAAUGGGCGAAAGCUUGACGGAGCAACGCCGCGUGAGUGAUGAAGGUCUUCGGAUCGUAAAACUCUGUUAUUAGGGAAGAACAAAUGUGUAAGUAACUAUGCACGUCUUGACGGUACCUAAUCAGAAAGCCACGGCUAACUACGUG